CCUCGCUGGCUCUCUCCCUCCUCCGCUUCUUCUCCCGGGGACUGGGACCAGCCGAGCGCGCGCGGGAGUCGAGACGCCCGGCCCGUGCGCGCGACUGGGAGGAGGGAGGAGGGGACAGUCACGUGGGACAGGGGCGUCCGAAGGUGCCGGCUCGGAUGGGCUCGGCUCGGCCGCCGCCACACCGCCCGGGCCUCCCGGGCCUCCCCGGCCUCCCGCCCUCGCGCCCCUCGGGAGGCUGUAGUCCUGCCCCCGGCGCGGCCAGCCCGCGCUCCCGCACACCCCGCCCGCUCGCCCGCGCGUGUGUACGUGCGCCGGAGGCCUGGAGAGACCGGAGUUUAACGCCCAGUCUUCUUCCUAAGUUGGAGAAAUGGGAAACGAUUUGAAAGCUGCCAACCGGAGGUGAAAAUCUUGCCACUUGUGAAACUGAAGGAACAUCCCCAAGGCCUGGCUUCUCCUUUUAACAGAAGCUUUCUUUCAGGGUCCCCCUCCUGGAUGUGGCAGGCCUCCCAGAUUCCCCUGGAAGUUCUGACUUGCCCAUACACACAAGGACCUCAGGAAACCCAAUAGUGACUUUCCUCAGAUCUGUGAAUUCCUUCUUCUGGAAAAUAACCUUCUCAACAAUUGUAUAAUGGAGUCCUUUAUGUUGUAAACAAGAAUAAAAAAGAAAGUAUAGAUAUUGUGGAGUAGUUUUUUUGUGGGGGGGGGGUCCUUUCUUUAAAAACCGUGUGAAUAUGUGGUUCUCAAUCAUUAUAUCCAAAACAUUUUACUAUUUUUCUUGUAAGCCUUGUAUUUUAUUAAUAUUUUUGUCAAACAAAUUAAAUGGUAAUAAUACAUCCAUUUUACAUGCCAGGCAGAACUUCUAAAUAGCAGAUAAAAGACCUGUUACCUCAUCAAGGUAAUGAAUUCCAGCCCAAACAAAGACAUUUCAAGAUUUUUUUUAGCUUCAGUAGCGUUACCUUGGGAAAAAUAGUCAGUUUUUAAGAUUUUGUGGAAAUACAGGAAAUAGUGUCUAUUUUUGCAAAUCAUUAUGGAUAUAGGAACCCCAAAUCUAUUGAUAUAGACCUGCUUUUUCCCUCCUUUUUUCAUUUAACAAAAACUUAGUCAUGGAUUUAUUGUGCAUGAAGCCUUCUUAGGUUUCUACAAAGAUCAUAAAGAAAUAUAACAGG
rnacentral:lncRNA from 10 species